GACGAACGCUAGCUACAGGCUUAACACAUGCAAGUCGCGGGGCAGCAUGAGGGUUGCUUGCAAUUCUUGAUGGCGACCGGCGUACGGGUGAGUAACGCGUGAGGAACCUGCCUCAAAGAGGGGGACAACAGUUGGAAACGACUGCUAAUACCGCAUAAGCCCACAGCUCGGCAUCGAGCAGAGGGAAAAGGAGUGAUCCGCUUUGAGAUGGCCUCGCGUCCGAUUAGCUGGUUGGUGAGGUAACGGCCCACCAAGGCGACGAUCGGUAGCCGGACUGAGAGGUUGAACGGCCACAUUGGGACUGAGACACGGCCCAG
rnacentral:rRNA from 1 species